rnacentral:rRNA from 1 species
UAGGGAAUCUUCCGCAAUGGGCGAAAGCCUGACGGAGCAACGCCGCGUGAGUGAUGAAGGUCUUCGGAUCGUAAAACUCUGUUAUUAGGGAAGAACAAAUGUGUAAGUAACUAUGCACGUCUUGACGGUACCUAAUCAGAAAGCCACGGCUAACUACGUGCCAGCAGCCGCGGUAAUACGUAGGUGGCAAGCGUUAUCCGGAAUUAUUGGGCGUACAGCGCGCGUAGGCGGUUUUUUAAGUCUGAUGUGAAAGCCCACGGCUCAACCGUGGAGGGUCAUUGGAAACUGGAAAACUUGAGUGCAGAAGAGGAAAGUGGAAUUCCAUGUGUAGCGGUGAAAUGCGCAGAGAUAUGGAGGAACACCAGUGGCGAAGGCGACUUUCUGGUCUGUAACUGACGCUGAUGUGCGAAAGCGUGGGGAUCAAACAGG